rnacentral:rRNA from 1 species
GGACUACCGGGGUUUCUAAUCCUGUUUGAUCCCCACGCUUUCGUGCCUGAGUGUCAAUAUUCGUGUAGCCAGCUGCCUUCGCAAUUGGUGUUCUAUGUCAUAUCUAAGCAUUUCACCGCUACAUGACAUAUUCCGCUGACCUCCACGGUAUUCAAGACUAAUAGUAUCAAUGGCAGUUUCCGGGUUAAGCCCGGAGAUUUCACCACUGACUUACUAGUCCACCUACGCACCCUUUAAACCCAGUGAAUCCGGAUAACGCUUGCACCCUCCGUAUUACCGCGGCUGCUGGCAC